GGCCUGUUGGUCAAGGGGUAUGAUUCCUGCUUUGGGUGCAGGAGGUCCCGGGUUCAAAUCCCGGACAGGCCC
rnacentral:tRNA from 1 species